rnacentral:rRNA from 1 species
UACAGAGGGGGCAAGCGUUGUUCGGAAUUACUGGGCGUAAAGGGCGCGUAGGCGGUUUGCUAAGUCGAAUGUGAAAACUCUGGGCUUAACCCAGAGCCUGCAUUCGAUACUGGCAGGCUAGAGUUCUGGAGGGGAUAGCGGAAUUCCUGGUGUAGCGGUGAAAUGCGUAGAUAUCAGGAGGAACACCGGUGGCGAAGGCGGCUAUCUGGACAGAGUCUGACGCUGAGGCGCGAAAGCUAGGGGAGCAAACAGG